rnacentral:rRNA from 1 species
GUGGGGAAUAUUGGACAAUGGGCGAAAGCCUGAUCCAGCCAUGCCGCGUGUGUGAAGAAGGCCUUUUGGUUGUAAAGCACUUUAAGCGAGGAGGAGGCUACCGAGAUUAAUACUCUUGGAUAGUGGACGUUACUCGCAGAAUAAGCACCGGCUAACUCUGUGCCAGCAGCCGCGGUAAUACAGAGGGUGCGAGCGUUAAUCGGAUUUACUGGGCGUAAAGCGUGCGUAGGUGGCCAAUUAAGUCAAAUGUGAAAUCCCCGAGCUUAACUUGGGAAUUGCAUUCGAUACUGGUUGGCUAGAGUAUGGGAGAGGAUGGUAGAAUUCCAGGUGUAGCGGUGAAAUGCGUAGAGAUCUGGAGGAAUACCGAUGGCGAAGGCAGCCAUCUGGCCUAAUACUGACACUGAGGUGCGAAAGCAUGGGGAGCAAACAGGAUUAGAUACCCCAGUAGUCC